rnacentral:misc_RNA from 1 species
ACACCCCACAUUCAACAAUUUAUUGCUGAAUGGUUUUGGGAGCAUUUUAACUCUUUGAGUUAAAUCUCCUUAAUAAUAUUUGGCCAUGGCUGGAUUUAUUGUCUGCCUGAACUAUUUUUUUUUAAUUUUAAAAGAAUAUUUUUCUAGCAAUUAGUACAGUAAGUCUCGGUAUCUGGGCCUACUAAAUAGUUAUAAUUUUUUUUAA